GCAUGUAACUCCGCCUGUGGGCACUAUGCAUGGCUCACAGCCGGUCUCAAGCCCGGGGUAAGGAGGAGAGAUGC
rnacentral:ribozyme from 2 species